UCCGGUUGAUCCUGCCGGAGGCUACCGCUAUUGGAGUUCGAUUAAGCCAUGCGAGUCGCGAGAAAUUAGAUUCUCGGCGUACCGCUCAGUAACACGUGGGUAACCUGCCCUAUGCUGGAUAAUAACCUCGGGAAACUGAGAAUAAUGAUCCAUAGUUCACUACGCCUGGAACGGUGAGUGGAUGAAAGCUCCGGCGGCAUAGGAUGGGCCUGCGGCGUAUCAGGUUGUAGGGGGUGUAACGUACCCUCUAGCCCUCUACGCGUACGGGUGUUGGGAGACAUAGCCCGGAGAUGGAUUCUGAGACACGAAUCCAGACCCUACGGGGUGCAGCAGGCGCGAAAACUUGGCAAUGCGAGAAAUCGUGACCAGGGAACUCCAAGUGCAUCGGGUAAGACCGGUGCUUUUCUUGACUCUAAAUAGGUCUUGGAAUAAGGGGUGGGUAAGGACGGUGCCAGCCGCCGCGGUAAUACCGGCGCCUCAAGUGGUAGUCGCUUUUAUUGGGCCUAAAACGUCCGUAGCCGGUCUGAUACAUUCGUGGGUAAAUCAACCAGCUCAACUGGUUGAAUUCUGCGAGGACGGUCAGACUUGGGACCGGGAGAGGUGUGGGGUACGCUCAGGGUAGGGGUAAAAUCCUGUCAUCCUGAGCGGACCACCUGUUGCGAAGGCGCCACACUAGAACGGAUCCGACGGUCAGGGACGAAGCCUAGGGGCACGAACCGGAUUAGAUACCCGGGUAGUCCUAGGUGUAACGCUGUGG
rnacentral:rRNA from 1 species